rnacentral:rRNA from 1 species
UGGGGAAUAUUGCACAAUGGGCGCAAGCCUGAUGCAGCCAUGCCGCGUGUAUGAAGAAGGCCUUCGGGUUGUAAAGUACUUUCAGCGGGGAGGAAGGGAGUAAAGUUAAUACCUUUGCUCAUUGACGUUACCCGCAGAAGAAGCACCGGCUAACUCCGUGCCAGCAGCCGCGGUAAUACGGAGGGUUCAAGCGUUAAUCGGAAUUACUGGGCGUAAAGCGCACGCAGGCGGUUUGUUAAGUCAGAUGUGAAAUCCUCGGGCUCAACCUGGGAACUGCAUCUGAUACUGGCAAGCUUGAGUCUCGUAGAGGGGGGUAGAAGUCCAGGUGUAGCGGUGAAAUGCGUAGAGAUCUGGAGGAAUACCGGUGGCGAAGGCGGCCCCCUGGACAAAGACUGACGCUCAGGUGCGAAAGCGUGGGGAGCAAACAGG